rnacentral:rRNA from 1 species
AACGAACGCUGGCGGCAUGCCUAACACGUGCAAGUCGAACGAGACCUUCGGGUCUAGUGGCGCACGGGUGCGUAACGCGUGGGAAUCUGCCUAAAGGUUCGGAAUAACUCAGGGAAACUUGAGCUAAUACCGGAUGAUGUCUUCGGACCAAAGAUUUAUCGCCUUCAGAUGAGCCCGCGUAGGAUUAGCUAGUUGGUGGGGUAAAGGCCCACCAAGGCGACGAUCCUUAGCUGGUCUGAGAGGAUGAUCAGCCACACUGGGACUGAGACACGGCCCAGACUCCUACGGGAGGCAGCAGUGGGGAAUAUUGGACAAUGGGCGAAAGCCUGAUCCAGCAAUGCCGCGUGAGUGAUGAAGGCCUUAGGGUUGUAAAGCUCUUUUACCCGGGAUGAUAAUGACAGUACCGGGAGGAUAAGCCCCGGCUAACUUCGUGCCAGCAGCCGCAGUAACAC